CUGAGAGCCUCUCAAGGCUAUCUGGGGUCAGGUCUUUCUGUGCCUGUACCCUGAGAAAUAGCUCCCUUCGCUCACUUUGGAACCAAGUCUGAGCCAAAUAGUUGCUUACAAGUAGUGGGCCUUGCUCUGCCGGGUCUGGGGGUGUGUGUGUGUGUGAGACUGGUAGGUACUUUAUAGCAGUUUUAAAAAUAGGAAGUGACUGUUUUAUGGCUUCAUAAUUAUAUUUUUAAUGUGCCAGCUUAUCUACUUAAGAUCCUGCCAGAGAGACAGAUGGGGGCGAAGUGGAGCGGAGAACACCGCGAUGCCCCUGCUGUGCUGGCACCGUGGACCCCUCCUGUUGGCUGGGCGCCUUUCCACUGGGCCUCUGGUGAGGCCGCCUGCCAUCCCUGUCUCGAUGGGACUUACGUUUUGUUUUUGUCCUUGAAGGACAGUUUUGCUGGUGACACACAGCGAGGCGGACAGCGCCCUUCUUGGGUGCUGCAUGUGCCUCCCGGCGGCCUGGGUUUGGAGGAGCCAACACCAGUCCUGCUCUCUUUGGGUGCCCAGGCUUCUCUCUCGGCCCAGGUCAGCCUGAUACAGUCUCACGGGCACCCUUGGGUGGUGUCACCGGCUGCCAUUCGUCAUCCUUCCAAACGUGGAGUCUCAUCCAGAACAGCCUCCUGGGCGUCUCCAGUGUGACUCCUGCAUCCUGUCCUCUUGGGAAGGAUCUUGCCAAGAUGCCUGGGCCGCCAUCAAACUGCAAUCCCCCUGCCUCAGCCUCCUGAGAAACUGAUCCUGCCUGUGCAUUAUCACACCUUGCAUGUUGCUUCUGAUGGCAUCUUGUCCCUUUGUCACUUUCCAGGACUCUUCAUUGUAUCUGUAAAUGCAUGGAUCACAUGACCACAGGUUCUAUGUUGGGGGCGGCCCACAGCAGGGCUGUGGAUGUUCUUCUUGCUGACCUUACACACGGUGCCUGGCUUCCCUGUGUUGUGGGCGCCUUGAAGUGGGACCAGCUUUCUACAGUGGCAUCCUCUAAGGCACCUGCGGGCGGACCCCUCCAGGGAUUGUGUUUGCUUCUGCCGCACCUGGAGCUGGCUGCUUUGGAACAGUGUGCAUUUGUGUGUGCAUGCAUGCGUGACUUGUGGUUAGAAAUUGAGUUAUUUUGUCCCUUUGCUUCGGGCUGAGGCUCGUGUCCCCUGUGUCUGUGCCCAGGUGGGUGGGCUGCUCAUUCUGGGCAGGAGGGGAUGUCGAUGGGUCUGUGGUGCCCUCAGGCCCCCAAGGCUGGGUCCCCUGUCCCGGCUGGGUCUGUCUUGAAAAGAUCUCUGCUAGAAACAAGGGUGGGAUCCCCCCACCUCCAGCGCCCCUUAGCCCAUGUGGCAGUAGUAAUGGCCUGGAGCCUGCAGCAGACGGUGCCUGGCCCCGCCUCUCUGUGAAGCUGGUUACUGGGUGGCCUUCCCCGUGGACCCUGCCGAGGCCAGAGGGUGAGGAUGGCUGUGUCCUCUCAUGCACCCUCGUGCCGUGUCCUGUCACCUGCUCUGCAUGAGUGGCUGGAGGGUACCACCUCAGGCUCUGGCACCCUGGGCUGGGCUGCCCUCAGUGCGAGGAGCAGGAAAUGGAUCUCUCCAUGGAGCAAGGCCAGAGGCUACUUGGGGUCCAAGAGGGGCAUCCCUGGGUCCUGUGUUGAGGUCCCAACCUCCAGAAUUGGACUGCUCUGUGGCACCUGCCCCCUGCCACCAAGAGGCUCACUGUGACCAGAGGCCUGCCUGGGCCCCCGGCCUACCUUUGUGGGCCUAUGGGCUUCAUCCCGACAACACUGACCCUAAGCUGGGUGCAGUGGGCACUGGUGCCAGCACGAUAUGCCAUCUAGACACCAGGACUCGGGUCCUGUUACCAGCCAUCCCCGGGGACACCCAGUCCCUAACAGGGGUCCCUGUGCCUCACUUGGAGCUCUGCCUCGCCUCAGGCAUGGUCGUCUGUUCUCUGAUAAACUUGGGUGAAUGCGGCUGAAGUUCCUGGCACUGUUGUCUGACCUGUGUCCUUCGGGCCACAGAACUGUGGACUGCAGCCACAUGGCCCCCCAGACCAUGGUGACCCUGGCUGCUGCCUCCCCCUCCCUGGCCCCCUGCAGACCUUACCCUGGUUCCCUGGCACCUUUGCCACCACCUAGCAC
ensembl:lncRNA